GGGGGUGUGGCUCAAGUGGUAGAGUGCUUGCCUAGCAUGCAAGAGGCCCCUGGGUUCAAUCCCCAGUACUGCCA